rnacentral:rRNA from 1 species
UACGUAGGGUGCAAGCGUUAAUCGGAAUACUGGGCGUAAGGCGUGCGCAGGCGGUGAUGUAAGACAGAUGUGAAAUCCCCGGGCUCAACCUGGGAACUGCAUUUGUGACUGCAUCGCUGGAGUACGGCAGAGGGGGAUGGAAUUCCGCGUGUAGCAGUGAAAUGCGUAGAUAUGCGGAGGAACACCGAUGGCGAAGGCAAUCCCCUGGGCCUGUACUGACGCUCAUGCACGAAAGCGUGGGGAGCAAACAGG